rnacentral:tRNA from 2 species
GCCGAAGUGGUGGAAUUGGCAGACGCGCCGGACUCAAAAUCCGGUGGGGUAACACCCGUGCGGGUUCGACCCCCGCCUUCGGCACCA